GAUGAACGCUGGCGGCGUGCCUAAUACAUGCAAGUCGAGCGAACGGACGAGAAGCUUGCUUCUCUGAUGUUAGCGGCGGACGGGUGAGUAACACGUGGAUAACCUACCUAUAAGACUGGGAUAACUUCGGGAAACCGGAGCUAAUACCGGAUGAUAUUUUGAACCGCAUGGUUCAAAAGUGAAAGACGGUCUUGCUGUCACUUAUAGAUGGAUCCGCGCUGCAUUAGCUAGUUGGUAAGGUAACGGCUUACUAAGGCAACGAUGCAUAGCCGACCUGAGAGGGUGAUCGGCCACACUGGAACUGAGACACGGUCCAGACUCCUACGGGAGGCAGCAGUAGGGAAUCUUCCGCAAUGGGCGAAAGCCUGACGGAGCAACGCCGCGUGAGUGAUGAAGGUCUUCGGAUCGUAAAACUCUGUUAUUAGGGAAGAACAUAUGUGUAAGUAACUGUGCACAUCUUGACGGUACCUAAUCAGAAAGCCACGGCUAACUACGU
rnacentral:rRNA from 1 species